GAUGAAGAACGCAGCGAAAUGCGAUAAGUAGUGUGAAUUGCAGAAUUCAGUGAAUCAUCGAAUCUUUGAACGCACAUUACGCCCCUUGGUAUUCCAUGGGGCAUGCCUGUUCGAGCGUCAUUUGUACCUUCAAGCUCUGCUUGGUGUUGGGUGUUUGUCUCGCCUCUGCGUGUAGACUCGCCUCAAAAUAAUUGGCAGCCGGCGUAUUGAUUUCGGAGCGCAGUACAUCUCGCGCUUUGCACUCAUAACGACAGCGUCCAAAAGUACAUUUUACACUCUUGACCUCGGAUCAGGUAGGGAUACCCGCUGAACUUAAGCAUAUCAAUAAGCGGAGGA
rnacentral:misc_RNA from 1 species